rnacentral:other from 1 species
UGCUAUCAUCAUUAUUUUCAUUAUUACCUUCAUUAUCUAUUGGAUAAUAUUCAGUACAUUAACCGGCCGCUGGCCGGUUUUUUUA